rnacentral:lncRNA from 1 species
UGCCCAGUUUCACAUAUGUUUUUGCAUCACUGUCUCUUUUUUUCUUGAGCUUAUUCCAGAGUGUCUUUUAAUAUCCAUUCCAUGAUCAAAUGGCUGAACUAUUAAAAUGCUGUCCAGAAGUGUAAAGCAAUAUGAAGAUGCUAGAAAAGUUGAAGAGACACAUAUAUGGUAGGUCCAAGACCAUUACACUUACUGAGUCCAUUACUAAAAAUGAUGUUCACUUAACAUCAAAACACUCAGGAUUACCCAAGCACAAUAUACUGAUUUGCACCUCUGCCUUUGUUCAUGCCCCUUGUUCAGGAGAACUGCUUUCAUGUGCUACUGUCCAUAGAUCUUCUCUAUCCUUACAGAUUAAUUUCUUCCUUUUGAAUGCUAUGUUUCCAUACUUUGACAUUCCUUCUGCACCAUUCAGACCAUAUUUUAGUUCUUUUUUAUGGUAUCUCUCACUUUUGAUUGUCACCCCUUAAGUCAAAGACAAUUUUUUCAUCUGUGUCUUCUCAACACCCAGCACAGGGCUAUGUUUGGUAAAAAUUAGGUAUCCAAGAUGUACUAAAUGAAAAAAUCAAAGAAGCAAAAAUUUUUGAAAUUUCAAAUGAGCUUAUAAAUAAGCUCUGUUAUGUACUUAUUGUAAGAAGUUUGAAAAUAGAGAAAAGUAUUAAAGAGAACAGAAAUCUCUAAAAAAUCCCAAAAUAACCACCUCAGGGGAGUUCUUAAGUUAGAAGCCACAUCUCUCAUGGUACCCCUGUUGAUCUGCAGGUCUCUGCUGGUUUCUCUUAGUCGCCACCAUUUUGGAAGAGGAACAUCCAGUCACUCAAGUGCUAAACUAACACUCUAGCGUUGCUCUUCUUAUCAUCUCAGAAUGUUUGCUUCCUGGUAACUGGUGCUAAGUAUCUUGUAUGUUCUGUUACACAUCUUCAAUGCUUUGGAUAAUGUCAAAAUACCACAUAGUUGUUAUUUUUAACAACUGGUCAUCCUGAGUAGACGCACCCAUCCAUCAUAGUGACUCAAGGCCACCAGUAGCAAGCUCUUCAGAAAAGUUAUGGAGUAGUACUUUGUGUUAAAUGAGCUAAUUAAGAGACACAAACCAACAUCAUUUUUUUUUAAUCUCUCAGGAUGAGGAUGUUGUGUGGAUAGAUUACUAUUCUGAUAUUUAGAACAGAGGUUUGUUUGUUUAAAAAUUGUAUUUAUUUAAUCUCCCAAAACAACUGAGAAGGCUGGUUUUUCUACUCCUGGUAUGCUACCAUAUACUAGAUUUGUCUCAGCAUCAGAUCUUGGCUAAUAUGAGCUCUUCUGACAACUGUAGACACAGAGAAAUUGGGGUGUGUUUAGUUAGAAUAUUUACUGUUCUUAUGUGUGUUGAGAAUAUCUCAGUUGUGGUAUAGCCUCACCUCUAAGCAAUGACAUCAUGACAUAUAUUCAAAUUAUAUUCUGCUUUUUUUGUCUUAGAUAGAAAUAAACAAUUACAUGGAAUUUUCAUAGGCAAAUUAAUUAAGAUGAGAGCAAUCAGUCUUUGCCUAGUCUCCUUCCCACCUUCUUCUCAAAGUGAUUUAUUAAUAAACUGCAUCUGAAAUAAUUAAGAGGUAGAAAAUAAAAAUCUGAAGACCAUAUUUCAUAGCAGACUUCAAUUUUAUAUGAAGGUCUCAAUUUAUUCAUUCCUCCAUCACCACCAUCUUUCAUAGCCAAAGUACUCAUCUCUAAAUGGAAGGUUUCUAAAAUUCCUCAUCUAUAGAAGUGCCUUCCCCUAUGUGUAUACACACAUACAUGGUGUUAGUGUUUUGUAGCUAAUGGUUCCCUAUGUAGCACGUUGAAUGUGUGUUUAUAUUUCUUCAUAAAGCACCUCGAUGGCAGGGACUUGUUAUUUUCUAAAUCUUUGUAUACUUGUUUGGGACAUUUUAGUCACUGAAGGAAUAAUAGAUGAGUGGAUGAAUAGGUACCAACUACAAUGAAUAUUUGUGGGUUAAUUGAGCUCUGACUGCAUAACUUUUUUUAAUAUACUUUAAAUUCAGGGGUACCUGUGCAGAACAUGCAGGUUUUUACAUAGGUAUACAUGUGUCAUGGUGGUUUGCUGCACCCAUUAACCCGUCAUCUACAUUAGGUAUUUCUCCUAAUGCUAUCCCUCCCAUAGCCCCGAACGCCCUGACGGGAGUUUUAUGUGAUAAUAUGAGUGUCUGCUAUGGGCCAUUCAUUGUGCUAGAUGCUUACCAUAAAAAUGUCUUCAUUUGUACAAUAACCUUAUAAAAUGAACAUUAUUAUGUGCUUUAC